CACGUAGGCACCAAGCGUUGUCCGGAUUUAUUGGGCGUAAAGAGCUCGUAGGCGGUUCAGUAAGUCGGGUGUGAAAACUCAGGGCUCAACCCUGAGCUGCCACCCGAUACUGCUGUGACUUGAGUCUGGUAGGGGAGUGGGGAAUUCCUGGUGUAGCGGUGAAAUGCGCAGAUAUCAGGGGAACACCGGUGGCGAAGGCGCCACUCUGGGCCACGACUGACGCUGAGGAGCGAAAGCAUGGGUAGCAAACAGG
rnacentral:rRNA from 1 species